rnacentral:lncRNA from 1 species
AUGCAUCCGAUUUAUAAGCUUUUGGAUCCACAUAUGAGAUACACUCUAGAAAUUAACGGCUUGGCUCGCCAGAGCUUGCUCAAUGCUGAUGGUGUCAUCGAGGCUUGCUUUACUCCUGGUCGCUACUGCAUGGAGAUCAGUGCUGCUGCCUACAAGAAUUGGCGCUUCGAUUUAGAAGGCCUUCCAGCUGACCUCAUCCGAAGGUAUAAUUUCCGCUAUAGUCAAUAAGGAUUUAAGUUAUAUACACGGGAAAAAAAUUAUAUUGUCACAGUGUCACUGUAAUUUAACGGAUUCCAGCGCAUUAAUUACCUUCAAAUUUAAUUUCUUUUUAGUUUGUAGUAUUAUUGUGUGUGAAAGUGGGAAAUCUAAACAAAAUUUGGUCUUAUUUAAAAAUGCAGAGGGAUAGCAGUACCGGACUCAACACAACCUCAUGGGCUGAAACUUCUAAUUGAGGACUAUCCUUAUGCUGCAGAUGGGCUUAUGAUAUGGGGCGCAAUCGAGGGCUGGGUUCGUGAUUACGUAAACCAGUACUACCCAUCC